UCUACUCUAGAUGUGACCAUCAAUGUUUGGAGCCGUUGCUCUCUGAUGCCCAGCGCUUGGACUCUAAUGAGCAGAUGGUCACCGUGGAGACGGCGUAUUCUGUUCCUAAUGUUAGGAAUCCUGCCUCCACGCCUCCAUCCAACUACGUAGCUGCCCUGCAGAUGCCCGUCUCAGCCACGAUGUACGCAGAUUCAAGAUCGUACAUUACCAUUGAAAUUGCUGUGGAAAAGAGACCACCGGAGGAGCUGGCCAAACGCGACCCGUCCCACUGGUGUGAUUAUGGAGCGUUUCACAUGCUGACCGCUGACCACCUGAAGGCAAAGGAGUGCUUUCAACAGGCCUUAUCCCUCCAGCAAACACACAUACCGAGGUCAGCAGACACAAUGACUCAGGCUAGAUUUCGAAAUGUGAGUUGAUUUUGAGUUAAUUUUACUCUGACUGCAACAGGAUAUAAUUUUAGUUUGCAAAAUAUUAUUUAUUUAUUUAUUUUUGCACAAUACUGUGUGUCAAAUUGCUUUCAGGGGUGUUCAUAGUUCAUAGAGGAAGACAUGGCUUUUCGGGAAGCCAAUAAACAGCUUAUUUCAGUCCUGCA
ensembl:lncRNA